GACGAACGCUGGCGGCGUGCCUAACACAUGCAAGUCGAGCGGAGGUGCCUGAAGAGCAGUCGGAGGGUGUCUGAGUGGCGGACGGGUGAGUAACGCGUGAGCGAUCUGCCUUUCACAGGGGGAUAACGCAGCGAAAGCUGCACUAAUACCGCAUGAGACCACGGUACUGAUGGUACAGGGGUCAAAGGAGAGAUCCGGUGAGAGAUGAGCUCGCGUCCGAUUAGGUAGUUGGUGAGGUAACGGCCCACCAAGCCAAUGAUCGGUAGCCGGCCUGAGAGGGUGAACGGCCACAUUGGAACUGAGAGACGGUCCAAACUCCUACGGGAGGCAGCAGUGGGGAAUAUUGGGCAAUGGGGGAAACCCUGACCCAGCAACGCCGCGUGAGGGAAGAAGGUUUUCGGAUUGUAAACCUCUGUUCUUGGAGAAGAGGAGAAGACGGUAUCCAAGGAGGAAGCCCCGGCUAACUACGUGCCAGCCGCCGCGGUAA
rnacentral:rRNA from 1 species